AACUUUUAGCAAUGGAUCACUUGGUUCUGGCAUCGAUGAUGAACGCAGCGAAAUGCGAUAAGUAAUGUGAAUUGCAGAAUUUUGUGAAUCAUCGAGUUUUUGAACGCACAUUGCACCUUCUGGUAUUCCGGGAGGUACACCUGUUCGAGCGCCGUUUCAAAACUAAGGCUUUGCCUUUUGUUGACAAUCUCCGGAUUAGGAGUUGUUGAAACACUAUUCAGCGCCUUCUCGGUUAGCAGCGUAGCACAAUACGUAAGCGAUACUGAAAGAAGGUUGCUUGUGUUCUGAUCAUUUGGCCUCGGAUCAGGUGGGGAUACCCGCUGAACUUAAGCAUAUCAAUAAGCGGAGGCU
rnacentral:misc_RNA from 1 species